rnacentral:rRNA from 1 species
UACGGAGGGUGCAAGCGUUGUCCGGAAUCACUGGGCGUAAAGGGCGCGUAGGCGGCUCAUAAAGGCUGUGGUGAAAGUUCGGGGCUCAACCUCGAAUCGGCCGUGGCGACUUGUGGGCUGGAGCACUGUAGAGGCGGGUGGAAUUCCGGGUGUAGCGGUGGAAUGCGUAGAGAUCCGGAAGAACACCAGUGGCGAAGGCGGCCCGCUGGGCAGUGGCUGACGCUGAGGCGCGACAGCGUGGGGACGCAAACAGG